ACUCCUACGGGAGGCAGCAGUGGGGAAUAUUGCACAAUGGGCGCAAGCCUGAUGCAGCAACGCCGUGUGAGUGAAGAAGGUUUUCGGAUCGUAAAACUACUGUCCUAAGGGAAGAAACAAAUGACGGUACCUUAGGAGGAAGCCCCGGCUAACUACGUGCCAGCAGCCGCGGUAAUACGUAGGGGCGAAGCGUUAUCCGGAAUCACUGGGCGUAAAGGGUGCGUAGGCGGCUUAGCAAGCCAGGGGUGAAAGGCAUUGGCUCAACCAAUGUAAGCCUUUGGAACUGUUAAGCUUGAGUGCAGGAGAGGUAAGUGGAAUUCCUAGUGUAGAGGUGAAAUUCGUAGAUAUUAGGAGGAACACCAGUGGCGAAGGCGACUUACUGGACUGUAACUGACGCUGAUGCACGAAAGCGUGGGUAGCGAACAGGAUUAGAUACCCUGUAGCACAGAG
rnacentral:rRNA from 1 species